rnacentral:rRNA from 1 species
ACUCAAAUGAAUUGACGGGGGCCCGCACAAGCAGCGGAGCGUGUGGUUUAAUUCGACGCAACACGCAACACCUCACCUAGGUUUGACAUGCUGGUGCAUGUGGCGGAAACGUCACAGCCUUCGAGGGUCCAGCACAGGUGCUGCAUGGCUGUCGUCAGCUCGUGUCGUGAGAUGUUGGGUUAAGUCCCGCAACGAGCGCAACCCUUGCCCCAUGUUACUUGUGUCAUGGGGGACUGCCGGUGUUUUGCACCGGAGGAAGGCGGGGAUGACGUCAAGUCCGCAUGGCCCUUACGCCUAGGGCGACACACACGCUACAAUGGACGGCGAAAUACGACGCUACCGCGCGAGCGGAUGCCAAUCGGGAAGCCCGUCCGUAGUGCAGAUUGGAGGCUGCAACUCGCCUCCAUGAAGCCGGAGUUGCUAGUAACCGCGUGUCAGCAGAGCGCGGUGAAUACGUACCCGGGCCUUGUACACACCGCCCGU